UGCUUACAACCAACAUGGUUGUCAAGAGAUAAAAAUAGCCAGACGAUAUUGUACAUUGCGAAUUUUAAGGGAUUACCAAUACAUAAGACAUCUUUAUGGCGCCUGAUGCGUGUCAGUCGUGAAGAAACUUAAAUAUGUAUACAACUACAACAUUAUUUGAACGAAACAGGCGAUAAUAUUGCCGGAAAAAGUGCCGCUGUGAUCUGUGGCGGCGCUGCUACGAAGAAAUAGCAUCCAUAUCCCGUAACCGUAACCGUAACCGAGACGUAGCCGAAAGUUGUACAUGCCAUUGUAUCAUUACGACCUUCAGCCUCUUCAAAUUGUUGAACCGCCCCGCUUGUAGUUGUGCUUGCAGCUUGUCGGGUCAAUAAGCUAUUAGAACGCUCUUUCGCCGCUGUUCUUCGCUUGGUUGUUGACGCAGGACCGUCCAGUCCCAUAAUAGUCUAUUGGGUUGCAGUUGGGAGACAUGAAAAGGAAAUCUAAGAUUUGAGGCAAGAAAAAACGACAACUCGAACAAACAUACUGUGAAUCAUACUGUUAGACUAGGAGUGACGACUGAACACCUCGUUACACCAGACAGCCCCACAGUGACUGAUAUUUGUUACUUCCAAGUGAGGGGGGCGUUUCUUGCGACGAACGUUGAUCGGCGUCUCCUACCGGGGCUUAAAGCACUCUGAAGCCAGUAGUACUGGCUGGCAGCUCGGUCCAGAGAUUCUUGACCAUCAAGGUGACCGUCGGAUGCCUGAAUUUAGAGGUGUGUAAAGCCGUGUGGAGGACGUCGGCCCACAUUGUGUUAGACGGUUGAUGAGAACUUAACGUCGUCGUAAUGGAUGACAGCUUUAACGUCGUCGGAGUGGAUGACAGCUUUAACGUCGUCGGAGUGGAUGACAGCUUUAACGUCGUCGGAGUGGAUGACAACGUAACGUCGUCGGAGUGGAUGACAACGUAACGUCGUCGGAGUGGAUGACAACGUAACGUCGUCUGAGUGGAUGACAGCUUCAACGUCGUCGUAGUGGAUGAUAGUUUCAACCUCGUCGUGAAUGAUUUGAACACUGUGUUUAACAUAAGACUGAAUUGUCAAACAAUAAUAUGUGGGUUAGGAGGAUAUCUUGUGUAUAUGUACACCUUUUGUAUUGUUGUGUAUAGUAUUAGUGUAUAUAUGUAAUCUGAGCGCGAAUGAAUGGACUAACUGUAUGCUUGUGUGGUUCUGGUUGUAUAUGUGGGGUUAUGUGCUAUGUUUAGUUUAAUAAAAUGUAUGUUUAAAACGUUUUGUAUUGGUGGUCUUUUCAGCUACCAUGCCUUAUUUUGCCUUUAACAUAAAUAUUAAGUGCC